rnacentral:tRNA from 1 species
GUCCCAGUAGUAUAAACAUUACUCUG